rnacentral:rRNA from 1 species
CAGUCGCCGCGGUAAUGCGUAGGUGGCAAGCGUUGUCCGGAAUUAUUGGGCGUAAAGGGCUCGCAGGCGGUUUCUUAGGUCUGAUGUGAAAGCCCCCGGCUCAACCGGGGAGGGUCAUUGGAAACUGGGAAACUUGAGUGCAGAAGAGGAGAGUGGAAUUCCACGUGUAGCGGUGAAAUGCGUAGAGAUGUGGAGGAACACCAGUGGCGAAGGCGACUCUCUGGUCUGUAACUGACGCUGAGGAGCGAAAGCGUGGGGAGCGAACAGGAUUAGAUACCCGAGUAGUCCCUGUCUCUUAUAC